AGCGAACGUUUGCGGCGGGCCUAACACAUGCAAGUCGAACGCACUAGCAAUAGUGAGUGGCGCACGGGUGCGUAACACGUGGGUAAUCAACCCUUCAGCCUGGGAUAACGACUCGAAAGGGUCGCUAAUACCGGAUACGGCGCGAGAGGCUUCGGCUUCUCACGAGAAAGCCACGCAAGGGGCACUGAAGGACGAGCCUGCGGCCCAUCAGCUAGUUGGUGAGGUAAGAGCUCACCAAGGCUAAGACGGGUAGCUGGUCUGGGAGGAUGAUCAGCCACACUGGAACUGAGACACGGUCCAGACUCCUACGGGAGGCAGCAGUGGGGAAUAUUGCGCAAUGGGCGAAAGCCUGACGCAGCCACGCCGCGUGAGCGAUGAAGGCCUCGGUCGUAAGACUCUGUGGGAGGAGACGAAGAAGACCUGUGAAGAGCAGGCCUGACGGUAUCUCCUUA
rnacentral:rRNA from 1 species